UACGGGGGGGGCAAGCGUUGUCCGGAUUUAUUGGGCGUAAAGAGCGUGUAGGCGGCCUGACAGGUCUGCUGUGAAAACUCGAGGCUCAACCUCGAGAUGUCGGCGGAAACCAUCUGGCUAGAGUCCGGAAGAGGAGAGUGGAAUUCCUGGUGUAGCGGUGAAAUGCGCAGAUAUCAGGAAGAACACCCGUGGCGAAGGCGGCUCUCUGGGACGGUACUGACGCUGAGACGCGAAAAGCGUGGGGAGCGAACAGG
rnacentral:rRNA from 1 species